UUUUAUGCGUGAGGGAUAAAAGUGGAAAUCCUUUUAUGAAGCGUAGCGGAAUAAAAGAUUACUUCACAAUAUUUUCAUUUUAAGCUGAGUUCAGUGAACUUGUUUACAGCGGAUAGCCCGACCUUUU
rnacentral:misc_RNA from 1 species